CCUACGGGUGGCAGCAGUGAGGAAUAUUGGUCAAUGGACGAGAGUCUGAACCAGCCAAGUAGCGUGAAGGAUGACUGCUCUAUGGGUUGUAAACUUCUUUUAUAAAGGAAUAAAACGAGGCACGUGUGCCUUUUUGCAUGUACUUUAUGAAUAAGGAUCGGCUAACUCCGUGCCAGCAGCCGCGGUAAUACGGAGGAUCCGAGCGUUAUCCGGAUUUAUUGGGUUUAAAGGGAGCGUAGAUGGGUUGUUAAGUCAGUGGUGAAAGUUUGCGGCUCAACCGUAAAAUUGCAAUUGAUACUGGCAGUCUUGAGUGCAGUUGAGGUAAGCGGAAUUCGUGGUGUAGCGGUGAAAUGCUUAGAUAUCACGAAGAACCCCGGUUGCGAAGGCAGCUUACUAAACUGUGACUGACAUUGAUGCUCGAAAGUGUGGGUAGCAAACAGGAUUAGAUACCCCAGUAGUC
rnacentral:rRNA from 1 species